GUAGGUGAACCUGCGGAGGGAUCAUUAACACUAUUUGGCUGAGAGAAGAACAAAGUCGAAAGACGAUGGGACACUCGCAGUUCAAAUUCUAACCACACUGUUGAACUCGGUUACCUUGCGUAGCCAAUCCUCCCUUUGAAACGGAAAUGUUGAUGAAUGGUUUGUAGUGGGAUGACGCAAGUCAUCGACUAUUCAUUGACUAUCAAAGCUUCACUGACUUUGGAAUUUCUGUUUCUUAGGCAAUUCUAAC
rnacentral:misc_RNA from 1 species